UCAGAAACUCAAAGGAAGUUGACGGGGCCCGCACAAGCGGAGGAGCAUGUGGUUUAAUUCGAUGAUACGCGAGGAACCUUACCUGGGCUCGAACGUAAGAUGACUGUAGGUGAAAGCUUACAUCUCUUCGGAGCAUUUUACGAGGUGCUGCAUGGUUGUCGUCAGCUCGUGCCGUGAGGUGUCGGGUUAAGUCCCAUAACGAGCGCAACCCUACCUUUAGUUGCCAUCAGGUAAUGCUGGGGACUCUAAAGGAACUGCCUACGCAAGUAGUGAGGAAGGCGGGGAUGACGUCAAAUCAGCACGGCCCUUACGUCCAGGGCUACACACGUGCUACAAUGGCCGAUACAGAGGGCAGCUACCUGGUGACAGGAUGCAAAUCUCCAAAGUCGGUCUCAGUUCGGAUCGGAGUCUGCAACCCGACUCCGUGAAGUUGGAUUCGCUAGUAAUCGCGCAUCAGCCAUGGCGCGGUGAAUACGUUCCCGGGCCUU
rnacentral:rRNA from 1 species